rnacentral:rRNA from 1 species
CCCUUAGACGUUCUGGGCCGCACGCGCGCUACACUGACCAGUGCAACAAGCAUCCGUCCUUGGCCGACAGGCCCGGGCAAUCUUUGAACGCUGGUCGUGAUGGGGAUAGACUUUUGCAAUUUUUGGUCUUCAACGAGGAAUUCCUAGUAAACGCAAGUCAUCAACUUGCAUUGAUUACGUCCCUGCCCUUUGUACACACCGCCCGUCGCACCUACCGAUUGAAUGGUCCGGUGAAGCCUCCGGAUUGGCGCGCACCUCGGUGCCGCCGAGAAGUUGGCUAAACCUUACCAUUUAGAGGCAGGUGAAGUCGUAACA